rnacentral:lncRNA from 1 species
AUGAGGAGGAAGAGACGAAGAGGAGGAGGAGGAGGAGGUGGAAGAGGAGGAGGAGACGAGGAGGACGUGGAAGAGGAGGAGGAGGAGGAAGAGGAGGAGGUGGAAGGGGAGGGGGGAGAGGAGGAGGAAGAGGGGGAGGAGACGAGGAGGAAGAGGUGGAAGUGGAGGACGAGGAGGAAGAGGAGGAGGUGGGAGAGGAGGAGGAGAAAGAGGAGGAGGAAGAGGAGGAGGAGGAGGACGAGGGGGAAGAGACGAGGAGGAGGAGGUGGUGAAAGAGGAGGUGGAAGAGGAGGAGGAGACGAGGAAGAGGGGGAAGAGGAAGAGGAGGAGGAGGAGACAAGGAAGAGGAGGAGCUGGAAGAGGAGGUGGAAGAGGUGGAGGAGACAAGGAGGAAGAGGAGGAGGAGGAGGAAGAGACAAGGAGGAUGAGGAGGAGGACGAGGAGGAGGAGGAGGAGACGAGGAAGAGGAGGAGGAGGAGGAGGAGGAGGAAGGAGGAGGAGGUGGAAGAGGAGGAGGAGACGAGGAGGAGGAGGAUGAGGAGGAAGAGACGAAGAGGAGGAGGAGGAGGAGGUGGAAGGAGGAGGAGGAGAAAGGAGGAGGAGGAGGAGGAGGAGGAGGAGGAGGAGGAGGAGGAGGAGGAGGGGAGGAGGAGGAGGAGGAGGAGGAGGAGGAGGAGGAGGAGGAGGAGGAGGAGGAGGAGGAGGAGGAGGAGGAGGAGGAGGAGGAGGAGGAGGAGGAGGACGUGGAGGAGGUGGAGGAGGAGGAGGAAGGAGGAGGAGGAGGAGGAGGAGGAGGAGGAGGAGGAGGAGGAGGAGGAGGAGGAGGAGGAGGAGGAGGAGGAGGAGGAGGAGGAGGAGGAGGAGGAGGAGGAGGAGGAGGAGGAGGAGGAGGAGGAGGAGGAGGAGGAGGAGGAGGAGGAGGAGGAGGAGGAGGAGGAGGAGGAGGAGGAGGAGGAGGAGGAGGAGGAGGAGGAGGAGGAGGAGGAGGAGGAGGAGGAGGAGGAGGAGGAGGAGGAGGAGGACGUGGAGGAGGUGGAGGAGGAGGAGGAGGAGGAGGAGGAGGAGGAGGAGGAGGAGGAGGAGGAGGAGGAGGAGGAGAGGAGGAGGAGGAGGAGGGAGGGAGGAGGAGGAGGAGGAGGAGGAGGAGGAGGAGGGAGGAGGAGGAGGAGGAGGAGGAGGAGGAGGAGGAGGAGGAGGAGGAGGAGGAGGAGGAGGAAGGAGGAGGAGGAGGAGGAGGAGGAGGAGGAGGAGGAAGAGGAGGAGGAGGAGGAGGAGGAGGGAGUCUCUGUGCCAGAGAAAAACUUUUCAAGUUUAAAAUCCAACAAAAAGACAAAACCAGCCACAUUUAAAACUCUGUCUCUGAUUUGUGUUCUCAGUAGUUUGGACUUUGAACUUCCUGUUUUACUUUGA